AAGUAGCACUAUGGAGAUUCACACGUGGCGAAGAGCUGAGGCCUCCCACCAACAGCCACAUGAGGGAGCCAGAGUGGGAGUGGCUCCUCCAGCCCCAGUUGAACCUUCAGAUGUGACAGCCUCGGCUGCUGACAGUUUGCAAUCUCAUGAGACCCUGAGCCAGAACCACCCAGCUAAAUCAGUCCUGGACUCCUGAUCAACAGAAAUGACCAAAGAGAGGCGUUUUGGACAUUAAGACGCUUUGCUGCUUCUCACCUGAAACACGUAACAGGAACACCAACCUCUUCAGCCACAGGAAAUCUUCUUUGACACAAAACUCAAACCAAGUCAACCCAAAGUUCCAAGUUCUUUGCUUUCUCUUCUGUGUGUGUGUUGGUUUGUCCCAAAAGUCAGUUUGCAAGUUGAAACUUCAUGAAAUUACUCGUAGCAGAAAUAAAGUACAUUGUACAAAUCA
rnacentral:antisense_RNA from 1 species